GCCUUCGUGAUGUAGUGGUCAACAUGCUCGACGCGUAUUCGAGAGGUCUGUGGUUCGAGUCCCGGCGAGGGCA
rnacentral:tRNA from 1 species